UUCCCAACGAAGGCAGCCCCGCAAUGGGUCGCUCGUCUUCCUCUCCGCCUUUCUCCCCCACACGCUGUCAGCCACAACCGCCUCCUCCUCUUCCUCUUCUCCGCACUUGUCACCCCCUCUCCCUCAAGAAUAUCCACGGGACACCGCUCAGCCUCUUCUCCGUCUUGGUGCUGAGCAAGAAGAUGGGGCGUAUCUGGGCGUCGGCUCCCGUGCCACUUCCCUGGAACGAGGGAUCUCGCCAGUGUGAUCUCCCUACAUGGCGAGGAGGAGGGGAGGACCGCAACAUCGGUCAGAGAAGGUGGGGAGGAAUGGAUGCCAACAAGGGAGGCGGCUCAGCGUUGCCCACUCCCCACCGGCCUCCUUUGUCUCCCAAACACAUAUGGCUGCAAUCCUUCCUCUGCUCUGGUGUCGUGGGAGCAAGAACAAGGGCAGAAAUGAUUUGUAUCUACAUCCAGUGUUCACACGGCCAGAUCGAUGGAUCUGCCUCAUCCAGAUCUUCCACAAGGGCACGAGGUGGUGCUGAAGUCGGCUAGGAGGGGUAGCGCCGUGAUGAUGCGGAAGCGACCGGGGAUCAUUAUCUAACACUGCAGAAACAGAACAUUUGGUUGUUCUGAUCACUUAAAAUUGCUCCAGUUUUAAAGCACAUUAGGAAUGACCAAUCGAACGAAUAGCAUGGUGGAUGGUGACUUGUUCACUCACUGUCUAACUAGCAAACUCAGUUUGGUGAAUGGUGUGUUGUUUACUGGUGGAUCUGUGAAGCAGGCUCCGUAUUUUGAGACAAUUAAGAAAGUGUUUCGGUAUGUCUUGGACAAGAAUGGUGCAGGAGUUGCAUUUCCAUUGUUCGCACGGUGUCUUGGCUUUAAGCUUGUAAGCAUGACUGUGAGCAAAGCCAACUCAAGUAAGCUGCUGCUGGCCACCUUUCAGAAAAUCGAGGUUAGAUAUAUACACUACUAGGGAAAAGCCUACCAGUAGCGCGGGUCUUAGGUGUAUCUGUAGCACGGGCUCCCGCGCUACUGAUACGACGCUAUAGCUAACUUAUAGUAUUAGCGGGGGUCAACACGCGCUACUGUUAUACAUGGUUAGCAGUAGCGUGCUUUACAGGAAAGCGCUACUGCUAGCUAAUAGCUGCAGCGCUUUGAAGUAAGCCGCACUACUGCUAAGAGUACGCUGCUGCUAACUUUAUUCCCCUCGCUACUGCUAGUUUUAUUAGUUUCUGAUUUUUUUUCUGUAUAUUUUUUUGUAUUUGAACAGGCUUUAUACAAUAAUCUUUAGCACAUCAUACACAUACAAAUGUAAUCAUAGCAUGUACAUACAAAUAGUCUCAUCAAAUCAUGUCAUCAUCAUCCAACACAAAGUG